rnacentral:sRNA from 2 species
UUUAAUAUUACGCCGAAUUUUCUUUUGAAUUACGGGGGAACCAAUAUACAACCGAUACGUCUUUAACGUUGAGCGUUGUUGGGGUGAAUUUCGUUGUAUUACAACGAAUAGGGUAACCUGUGCAUACCCGAAUCCGUCAGCUAACCUCGUAGGCGAUAUGCUAGCAGGA